CCGAGGGCUCCGUGUCUCUCUCUGCUCGCAGGAAGGAUGACUCCAAAGCCAGCAAAGCUGUAGGAGAUGCCAUAGUGAAGGACUGUGCCCUGCAACACCUGCUGAUGAUCUCAGUAAUCCUGUGAGGAGACGGGCGAAGCAGGGGAUAGUUACAGCAUCCUGUCAAAUGAGCUGUAUCACACCCUCCUCGCUGCUGUGCAGCCUGUCUGCAGGUACCUGCAGCUCACAUACGGGGCACAGCUGAAGUGUUCAAACCCAGCUUCCUGCUUCAGAAGUCAGUUCUGAUGCGUUGUGGUGUGUACCUCGCUGUACUGUGCCUGCUGCUUCCUGGCGCUUUUCCAGGGCGACGUGAUGGAGAUGGAUGUGGAAGCGUAACCGUACCCUGCAACAGGAGGCAGGCAGGGCUGGGGCUGCUGGCAAAUGAACCAGCUCCAGAGCUGGAAGCAGCACAGCCACGUCAGCACUGUGCUUGUGACUCCAUGAAACCAAGAUGCGUUUAUCCCUCGUGGUGGCUUCAAGUAGCACAUUCACAUUGAAGAGCAUUCCAGUUCUGCUUCCUACAUGCUGCGGGUCAGUACCAUUUCCCAUUUGCCUGUGGACACCUCCCUGGUUGUUACCAGCUGCCUCGUGCUUUUGUGGUAGCUGCCUGUACGAUUGUGUCUCUUGUGAUAGAGCUCUAAUCUAGUAUAAAACAUCUAGUUUGGCACCUGGUGAUAAUUUAUCCUAUGAAAUAUCUGGAUGUAUUUUUUGCCAGUAAAAAUUCUGAAAGCCAAUUCAUUUGGCUGAUGGAGUGGCACUGCUGAAAUGUUCAAUGUGAGAGGAAAGCCAGGCAUGUGUCCAGGGUUUCUAGGUGAAUCGGCCCAAUUCCCAGGAGCUGUGCCAUGUGCAGUGAUUCUAAGUCGCACAGAUGGUUUUCAGCACUCCCAGCCUCCUGCAGGAAGUGUCAGUGAUGGCCUUUGCUUUUGGUUUACACAAACCCUAUUACCUAGCAAGAGCAAGUUGUAAAUCAGUUCUUGACAAGUCUGAAAUGAAUGAAUCCCUUUCCUGUUAAAGCAGGUGGCCUUCCAGAGCAUAUAAAUGUCUACCGGGUUCGCUGUUCUGGAUCAGUGUCUGAUUUGCUUAUGCUUGGUUUCCUUAUGGAGAUGAGUCAGAGACUAAAGAGUUUCAGUCUAGUGAGGAGCAGAGUACCCAUUUUAAGUAGCUGUGCUUUCUUGAUUUCUCCUGAGAGGAGAUAGCAGGGACUGAACGUUU
rnacentral:lncRNA from 1 species